rnacentral:rRNA from 1 species
GUGGGGAAUAUUGGACAAUGGGGGGAACCCUGAUCCAGCCAUGCCGCGUGUGUGAAGAAGGCCUUUUGGUUGUAAAGCACUUUAAGCGAGGAGGAGGCUACCGAGAUUAAUACUCUUGGAUAGUGGACGUUACUCGCAGAAUAAGCACCGGCUAACUCUGUGCCAGCAGCCGCGGUAAUACAGAGGGUGCAAGCGUUAAUCGGAUUUACUGGGCGUAAAGCGCGCGUAGGUGGCCAAUUAAGUCAAAUGUGAAAUCCCCGAGCUUAACUUGGGAAUUGCAUUCGAUACUGGUUGGCUAGAGUAUGGGAGAGGAUGGUAGAAUUCUAGGUGUAGCGGUGAAAUGCGUAGAGAUCUGGAGGAAUACCGAUGGCGAAGGCAGCCAUCUGGCCUAAUACUGACACUGAGGUGCGAAAGCAUGGGGAGCAAACAGGAUUAGAAACCCGUGUAGUCC